CGCGGCCUAGCAGCAAAUGAUAUUUAAAGUUUUUGUAAAUCCCAAGUAUGUGGAAACCCUAUGUAUUGUACUAAAUUAUUGUAAAAUCUGUAUAAGUGGCAACGCUGUACCAAUAUUGCACAAAUAUGACAGUCAUAAUGUACGAAAGAAAAUAGCGGGCAUUCGUGGCUGGCAUAUUGGAGCAAGAAGGUUGCAAUCACACAAAUGUGUAAGUAGAAAAAUUCAACAUUGUUAACCUCGUAAUAUUCUUUAUUAUAUUUGUCAUUCAAAUGUACUUCGAACAGGAAAUAAAACACAAUUCAUCUCCAUUUAUUAAUAUACUACGCAAAUAAGUUGAAGUUUAUUUGGAGAGUUUGCGUGAGUCCAGCCACGGAUCAACAUCUUUUAUUUCACAUUUUUUUUGUGAAGUACAUUUGUCGGAAAAGCAGAAUAAGGCACGGUAAUAAUAUUACGUAGCAAAAAAAACUGGCGGCGAAUACAUGUAAAUUGGAGCACGUAAUUGAAAGCACGGCAUUAAGUACGGUACGUGGUUUUUGGCAAACAACAAAAAAAUCUGUGCAAGGAAAUUGCGGCAACGGAAUCAUUCCAGACUUUUCGACAAGUAUUCAGGUUGGCUAGCGGAAUUUGAAGACAGGUGAGUGCUUUGGGGAAGAUGUAUGGGGUUGGUUUGUUAGUGUGUUAACUUGUGUGCACGAAUAACGGAAACUGCUGAUCAUAAGAGCACCCAAAGUACAAUAGCGGCUUGUUAAUAUAUAUGCACUGAUGAACAUUAGAGUGCGCCAAAAAACAUACGGAGGGCCAAAAGAAUAAUCGCAUAUGCUGUGCCAAAUUUACGCCUAUUUUAUUGUACUGUAUCAAGCUUCGCAAAUUAUAUGUAUGCUACUACAAAUGGAAUGCGCAUAGUCAAAAAUAAUUUAUAUUGCGAACGAUUAACGUGCACCAAAAAGUAUAUGGCUUAAUAGCGAAUAUUUUAUGAGAUUUAUGGUAUUGAAAUAAAGAAAUUUUUAGAUUGUUUGUAUGCGGAGUGGCAGUCAAUCUGCGCCUCAACUAACUUUAUUAUAUUUACGUUGUUAAAGCAGUUCUAAGGAACAGUAAGUCAAUCAUUGCCUUGUGAAUUAUAUGUAUGCAGAUGCUGAUCUGCGUCUCAAUUUAAUUUGAUUUAUUUGUCCCUGCGUCCCUUAAGAACACUAAGCCGAAAGUUUUCUGGCUAUUGAAUUAUUGUGAGCGGAUGUUAUCGACACCAGUUGCCCCUGCGUCUUAAGUUAUCGACCCAAUAGUUGUUGGUUUGCCAAUCAUUAGGGCUGCUCGAAUGCAAACAGGUUUGCGAAUUAUUGGUGCGGAUGCAAAACGUUGACCCGGUGUAUAAGCUACAUUAACCCUGCGUGUCCUACCCGAAAUAUUAGUUGUCUGUAGACCUGCGUUACUUAUAAAUCUGCGUACCUUGCAUAGCAAAUUUGUGGUUUUCGGUAUCGAAUAGGGUUUAGGCCUCAGCAAGCACAUUUAGCUUAGAAUUGGUAAUUGAAUACGUAAAGACAUGCCGAACUUGCGAUCUGGAGGUAGGACCAGUGCAACCGAGGAGUGGUUGGACGACUUAAAUACAACGAUUCAGCAACAACCAGCGGAAACGGGCGAAGCUCAACCAAUGACGAUGGAGGCUAGACUCGACAUGAUGCAGCGGCAGAUGCAAGACCUACAGGCGGAACUACGGCAGAGUCAGCAACAGCAUGAAUUGCUAGCAGCGGCUUCUAGACCACCAAGCAACGUGAAUGUGGAAAGCGUAAACGGGUCAUUGGUAGGGGUGUUAAGUGAUCUACAUCGAACAUUGGCAGACAGCAGAGCAACGCAUGGGCGCAAGUUAUACGAUUUGCCUGAAUUCGAUGGGCGGCCUGAGGACUGGCCCAUGUUUAGGGAGGCGUUUACGAUGACCACCGAAGAGUACCACUAUAAUGAUAGGCAAAACAUGAUGCGCUUGCAAAAAGCCAUUAAAGGUCGAGCAAGGGAGGUGGUUGAAUGCUUACUAAUUCAUAGCGGCAACGUGUCUCGCGUUCUUAGCACCCUUGGGGAUAGGUUCGGUAGGCCAGAGCAACUGGUGAAAAGCCAAAUUGCAAAAAUACAGGGUGUAGCUCCUAUAGCGGAAAAUCGUAUCGAUCAAAUCGUCCCGUUCGCUACGAAAGUACAAAAUUUAUCAUCAUUUCUACAGUCUGCUAACUGCGAUCAUCACCUAUCGAACCCCACGCUUAUGGAUGAACUACUAUCGAAAUUGCCGGUGCAAAGGCGGAUUGACUGGGCCAGGCAUGCGUUGACGAUAGUACCGAGACCGAACAUAUGUCAUUUCAGCGACUGGUUGCAGGAGCUUUCAAAGUUGGUGCCGAGUGCUAUGGUAAACACUAAUGCGGAUUCCAGGCAGAGCGGGCGAGGCGAAAAUCGUACGCGUUUCUUUCACACGCAGGAUAUAAACAGUGGCAAUCGGGAUCCUAGCGUAUGUGUUCUUUGUAAAGGUAGACACAGUAUAAAUCGGUGCAAGCGGUUUCUUCAUAUGCAGGUGGGUCAGCGAUGGCGUGUAGUGCGUCAAAAUAAAUUAUGUUUCAAUUGUUUGAAAAGCGACCAUAGGAGCGGCGAUUGCACCGAACAACACAGAUGCGACGUGGAUAGGUGUACGCGGAAGCAGCAUGAACUACUACAUUUUCGGCAGCAAGGAAGUACAGAUGGUCAGCGUCAAUUGGAAACUGCGACGCGGCAACAAGUCCUCACUAAUACAAUCGUCGACAAACCAAGUUCAAAAUUAUUGUACAAGAUCCUGCCAGUGCGGUUGUACGCCAACGGUCGAGUCAUAAGCACCUUUGCCCUCUUCGAUGAUGGUUCGGCAAUCUCGAUGAUGAACAGCGAAUUGGCUGGUCGUCUAGGUCUCAAAGGACAGAAGGAAAACUUAACGCUACAAUGGUUUGGUGGUACCACAGUUACGGAGCAGUCAAGCAGGGUCGAUGUGGAAAUAUCCGGAGUUGCAAAAUACAACAAAAGGUUUUCGUUGCGGAACGUUAGUACCGUAGCCAAUCUUCAACUGCCGGCGCAAACACUCCAGCGGUCAGAGCUGCAUUACAGACAUCGUCACUUGCCGAUCAAGGAGUAUGUUGGAGCGGUUCCAGAGCUAUUGGUAGGGUUAGAUAACGCGCAUCUGAGUAUUUCAAAGAAAACUGCUGACGAUGGAGGGAAUGGCUAUUCGGUGACGCUCACGAAACUGGGAUGGAUCGUCUACGGAGGUAAUGACCGAGACAUUGGAGAUAGGCGGCAGUUUGUAAACUUCGUUAAGACAGAUGACAGUGCUGAGCGGCUUGAGCGUUUGGUGAGUGAGUACCUAAUCAACGAAGAUCUCGGAGUUCGCGAUGCUGUAGAGGUAGUAGAAGCUGCAGAUAUUGCUAAAGCAAAAACGUUAUUGGAAGAAACAACAGUAAGAAAGGGUUCACACUUUGAGACAGGUUUGCUUUGGAAGCACGCAGAUGUAGCCCUACCAGAUAGUCGAAAAAUGGCAGAGAACCGGAAGUUAGCCCUGGAAAAGAAGUUUAAGCGCGAUGAAAAUUUUAAGUCUGCAUACGUCAAGGUAAUAGAGGAAUACGAAGCCAAAGGUUAUGCGAGGAAGCUGACGCCAGAGGAGAUCACGGCAGGAGGGAAGCGUAGCUGGUACCUACCACACUUUGGAGUUUGGAACGCGAACAAACCUGGAAAGAUGCGACUUGUAUUUGAUGCUGCGGCCAAAGUCAACGGUGUGUCAUUGAACUCGGCAUUGUUAAGUGGGCCGGAUCUAAACCAACCACUCGCAACUAUUUUGUUGAAAUUUCGGGAGAGGCCAGUUGGUGUAUGCGCCGAUAUAGUGGAGAUGUUCCACCAAGUCAAGAUACGUUCGCAGGAUCAAGCAGCACAACGCUUCAUAUGGAGAACAGACUCUAAGCAGCCAUUUGUGGUAUAUGGCAUGGACGUGAUGACGUUCGGGGUUACUUGCUCACCGAGCUCGGCCCAGUUCGUAAAAAACAAAAAUGCAGAGGAGUUUAGGGAACAAUUUCCAGAAGCGGCGAAUGCAAUAAUCAACAAUCACUAUGUCGACGACUUCGUGCACUGUUUCUCUACCGUCGACAAGGCAAUCCGAACAACGAAGCAGGUAGCUUGGAUUCAUAAACAAGGAGGGUUUGACUUAAAGCGGUUUGUGUCCAACUCUGAACAGCUCAUGAAACAAAUGAAUAACGAAGAAAAGCGUCCCGCCUGCUUGAAUCUUGAUAGAGAUAAUGUUGGUAUUUUUCAGAAAGUCCUUGGGCUACAUUGGGAUACGCUUAACGACGAUUUUAGAUUUGUUCUCUCGUUUGCAAAGGUCGAUCCAAUUGUGCGGGCUGGGACAAGGAGACCCACAAAACGCGGACUACUGAGCGUCACAAUGUCGGUGUUCGAUCCGUUCGGAAUGGCGGCGGAGUACACUAUGGAAGCAAAUCUUCUGCUGCAGGCGACUUGGCGAGCUGGUAUCGACUGGGAUGAACCUAUUCCAGAUGAAUUGCAAGAAGCAUGGUUGAGAUGGUUGACGGCGAUCAAGCGUUUGGAAGAAGUAAGCGUGCCGCGGUGUUACGGAUUAGGGUUCCAUCAGUUACCAGUCGAAUUACACGUAUUUGCGGACGCGAGCGAGGUAGCUUAUGCAGCGGUAGCGUACUGGAGGUUCCCAGAAGGUACGAGAACUCCAAAUCCCAUAUUCAUCUCAGGAAAGGCCAAAUGCGCACCAUUGAAGCUUACAUCAAUCCCCCGACUGGAGCUGCAGGCAGCAGUGUUGGCUACACGUCUUCGGAAGAGCAUCCUUCAAUGUCAUGGAAAAAUCCCUAAAAGAGUCGUAAUGUGGAGCGACUCGAAAACUGUCCUAGCUUGGGUGAAGUCUGACUAUUGGCGCUAUAAACCAUACGUGGCGCAUCGUGUUAACGAAAUUUUAGAGGCUAGUGAUGUAAACGAGUGGCGAUGGGUUCCAAGCGCAUUAAAUCCAGCGGAUUGGGGAACGCGUCCGAAGGCCGAUAGAAGAAGCUCAACAUGGAUUAGUGGGCACCCGUUCUUGUCGCAAGACGAAAGCUUAUGGCCGUCCAACGAGGUUACCCCGAACACGCAAGAUGAGCUAAGAGCGAAUUUUUCAGUUUUGACAGUAAAUAUCGACAAUGCCAUGUUCACCAAAUUUUCAUCAUUGGUCCGUUUAACAAGAGUGGUAGGCUGGAUAUUGCGGUUCCAAAACAAUUGCCGCAAAGACGCAAGCGAGAAGCGUUCUGGAGGGCUCAGUGCUUUGGAAAUAAAGAGCGCGGAAAUAGCUAUAAUCAGCUCGGUACAAAGACAAAGCUUCGCGGACGAAUAUUGUGCACUGAUUGCAGAGAAACAGGUGGAACGCAGCAGCCCCUUGAGGACCCUAACACCGAUGUUGGAUGAAGAGGGAGUGAUACGAGUAGGUGGGCGAAUAGAUGCAGCAGUAGCCAUUCCACCGCAUUCACGUAGACCAAUAAUCUUGCCUAAACGUCACCAUGUUACUGCGCUUGUAGUGGAUUAUUACCACAAAAUCUGGAAGCAUCAAAACGAAAGUACAAUAGUUGCAGAGAUACGACGGCGAUACUGGAUCCCGCAGAUCAGAACAGAGGUGCGACGCGCAAUGAAAAAAUGUCCAGUUUGUAUAAAAGAAAAGGCUAAACCAAACCCUCCGCAAAUGGGUCAACUUCCACCGGAUAGACUUACACCUUUCGUAAGACCAUUCACUUACGUAGGUCUUGACUACAUGGGUCCGUUUACAGUCGCGAUUGGCAGAAGAAGUGAGAAGCGUUGGAUUGCGCUAUUUACAUGCCUUACUGUGCGGGCGGUACAUCUGGAGCUCGCAAGGGACUUGACAACGGACACUUGUCUUAUGUGUAUACGAAAUUUUAUGAACCGCAGAGGAACGCCGGUGCGCAUCAGAUCGGACAACGGCACGAACUUCAUUGGAGCUGAUAAAGAGUUGAGGCGACAGAGAAUCGACUUCGAUAACGGCGUUAUAUCUAAUGCGCUGGCAAACAAGAACAUCGAGUGGGUUUUCAAUUGCCCGUUGAAUCGCCAUGCUGGCGGCUGUUGGGAAAGACUCGUCCGUAGUGUGAAACGCGCCAUGGGGCACGCUCUCAACAACGAAAACAUCCAGGAGCACUGCCUUUAUAGCCUAAUGUGCGAAGCGGAGAAUAUUGUCAACGCAAGACCAUUGACGCACAUACCGUUGGACGAACACACUGACGAACCGCUAACCCCUAAUCAUUUUCUCCUAGGUACUCCCAAUUCCGAGCAAACGCCACAUCCGCAAGAGGAAAAGAUGAUACCAACCCGAAAAAUGUGGUACAAGGUCCAACAAAUGCAGCACAGGUUUUGGCGGAAGUGGAUAGAUGAGUAUUUGCCAGACCUAACGAGGCGAACAAAAUGGUACGGAGUGCAGAAUCCUCUAGCCGUAGGUGAUGUCGUCCUCCUAUGCGACACCAACGUACAUCGCUCCAAGUGGCAGAUGGGGCGAAUCACACAAGUAUUUCCAAGCAAAGACGGGCAAGUAAGAGCCGCGCUAGUGCAAACGAAGGACGGCGUUUACAAACGAGCAGCCUGUAUACUGGCCAGGUUAGAUUUGGUGAAUCUGGGCAGAUCCACGGAGGCGGGGAUGUUGGCGCGGCCUAGCAGCAAAUGAUAUUUAAAGUUUUUGUAAAUCCCAAGUAUGUGGAAACCCUAUGUAUUGUACUAAAUUAUUGUAAAAUCUGUAUAAGUGGCAACGCUGUACCAAUAUUGCACAAAUAUGACAGUCAUAAUGUACGAAAGAAAAUAGCGGGCAUUCGUGGCUGGCAUAUUGGAGCAAGAAGGUUGCAAUCACACAAAUGUGAAAUAAAACACAAUUCAUCUCCAUUUAUUAAUAUACUACGCAAAUAAGUUGAAGUUUAUUUGGAGAGUUUGCGUGAGUCCAG